CAGCAGCCGCGGGAAUACGUAGGGUGCAAGCGUUAAUCGGAAUUACUGGGCGUAAAGCGUGCGCAGGCGGUUUGUUAAGACAGAUGUGAAAUCCCCGGGCUUAACCUGGGAACUGCAUUUGUGACUGGCAAGCUAGAGUAUGGCAGAGGGGGGUGGAAUUCCGCGUGUAGCAGUGAAAUGCGUAGAUAUCGGAAGGAACACCUGUGGCGAAAGCGGCUCACUGGACCAUUACUGACGCUGAGGCGCGAAAGCUAGGGGAGCAAACAGGAUUAGAUACCCCAGUAGUCCCUGUCUCUUAUAA
rnacentral:rRNA from 1 species